rnacentral:tRNA from 1 species
AACUUCUAAAAGUGUUUUGAAAACACAAAUAAGAUAAAUAUCUAGAAGUUU